CAAGCUCUUACGCUGUCAUGUCAGUAACAGUGUAUGAAAAUGUUCAGGUAACUCAUCUACAAAUGGAUACCUACAACAAUGAGACAAAACAGAAAAAGAAAUGAGGAUUGUGUGUCCAGAGUCAAGAGAGACUGAGAAAUCCAUCAAGGCGAGAGGUGCCCAGACACAAGGUUUUUCUACUCUUGAUGAUACACCAGGACAAAUUCAACAGUGUGAGGAAGAGGAGGAGGAAGAAGUGCCAGCUCAGAGAUAGAAGAGCGGAGGUGAAGACACAGACUGCUCUUUCUUGAUGAAGGCUGUUAGAAAAGUUUAAAAUAAUUAGCAAUGGUUAAAUAAAUAAAGUAGCACUGGGCAGUGAAAAGGUAUACAUUCAAAAAGUUAAAGUGUGUAAGCACUCGCACCAAAAUAUCCCUGAAAAUAAACGUCAAGCAUAUUAACUUCAGUUUUAUGUUUCUUCAGUUAAACAUGAAAUAUUUUUGCUUUAUCUAUGUGUUUGUUUCAUAUUGCUGUUUAUACGCUUUAUAUAUUUUGUGAUAAGUUCAUCUGCUGCAUUACAUCGUAUUUUCUAAGCAUGUUAUACAUCUGUAUCAUGCUCUGUUAGGCCCAUUCAGCCAUUUAAGGAUCAGAUAUCUUUUCCAUCUGACCUAAGAAAAUUAUAUGUCAUGAUUUUCUCACCCAAUAAAGGGAUACAGGCUAUUCUUCAUUUUAUCAGCAGCUUACUCGUUUAUAAACAAGAAGGCCCAGAGGUAGCACUGACGGUUGCCAGAAUACUUUAUAGUAUGUAACUUUAUUUGUUGUGUUUAUGAAAUGUAUAGUUUUAUUUUUUGAAGAACCUUUUGAUGUAAUGUGAUGUGCAUUAUGUGUCGAGUCAUGACUGAAUGGCUGAACUGCAGCAC